UAAAGAUUCAUCGGCUGCGGAUGGCCAUGCGGCGCAUUAGCUAGUCGGCGGGGUAACGGCCCACCGAGGCGACGAUGCGUAGGGGUUCUGAGAGGAAGGUCCCCCACACUGGUACUGAGACACGGACCAGACUCUUACGGGAGGCAGCAGUGAGGAAUAUUGGUCAAUGGCCGGGAGGCUGAACCAGCCAAGUCGCGUGAGGGAAGACGGCCCUACGGGUUGUAAACCUCUUUUGUCAGGGAGCAAGAGGCGGGUCGGGACCUGCUGUGAGAGUACCUGAAGAAAAAGCAUCGGCUAACUCCGUGCCAGCAGCCGCGGUAAUACGGAGGAUGCGAGCGUUAUCCGGAUUUAUUGGGUUUAAAGGGUGCGCAGGCGGAGGCACAAGUCAGCGGUAAAAUCGCGGGGCUCAACCCCGCUCCGCCGUUGAAACUGUGUCCCUUGAGUGCGCGAAGGGUAGGCGGAAUGCGUGGUGUAGCGGUGAAAUGCAUAGAUAUCACGCAGAACUCCGAUCGCGAAGGCAGCCUACCGGCGCGCGACUGACGCUCAUGCACGAAAGCGUGGGUAUCGAACAGGAUUAGAUACCCUGGUAGUCCACGCAGUAAACGAUGAAUGCUAUCUGUCCGGCCGGAAUGACGGCUGG
rnacentral:rRNA from 1 species